GUUGGGAUUACAGGCGUGAGCCACUGUGCCCAGCCCUUUUAUUUUAUUUUUUAGAGACAGAGUCUUGCUCUGUCACCCCGCCUGGAGUACAGUGGUGCAAUCUCGGCUCACUGCAAACUCCACCUCCUGGGUUCAAGCGAUUCUCCUGCGUCAGCCUCCUGAGUAGCUGGGACUACAGGCAUGCACCACCGGGCCCAGCUAAUAAUUUAGUUGCUAUGUCUUCACAGGCUUCUUUUGGCAGUGACAGUUAUCUGAUGGUAUUUUAACUCACUGAAAAUGCGUAAGGUGAUAGAAGCAGCCUCUCAAAAAACAAGCAAAAACCUAUAUGGCUUCUGCAUAUACUAGAGGUUCUGGGUUUGGUGUGAACUUUUUAAUACCACUCAUCAUUCUUGAAUAACACAAUAACCACCAACACAAAAACAAAGAGAAAUUAGUUACUAAUUACUUUCCAGGGUAGAUAAUUCUUACACAGGGAACAAAGGAAAAAGAUACAACAUUACCUCAACCCUCAGGAACUAAAUUUCCUCAUCUGGAAAAUGGGAGAUAAUAAUAGUACUAACUUCUUCAUUACUGUGAGAGUUAAGAAAAGCAAAGAGAAGAUUAUUUUGAUACCCAAAACAUCUAAGGAACGACUGAAGUAUUAAGAUUUUUUCAUGUCUUAUAUACGGUCUCUCCAAUCUAACUAUACCCUUGUGUUGUUUGUUUUUGUUGCUGUUUGAGACAGGGUCUCUGUCACCCAGGCUGGAGUGCAGUGGUGCAAUCUCACUGCAGCCUCAACCUCAUGGGUUCAAGUGAUCCGUCCAUGUCAGCCUCCCUAGUAGCUGGGACCACAGGCACAUGCCCCAACACCUGGCUAAUUUUUCCAUUUUUCUGGGGAAAUGGGCAGCCAUGCUGCCCAGGCUGGUCUCGAACUCCUGAGCUCAAGCUAUCUGCCUAACUCAGCCUCCCAAACUGCUGGGAUUAUUGGCGUGAGCCAUUGCGCCCAACCCUGACUAUACCUUUGUAAGUGAAUAUAACCUACAAACAUUUUUUGUCACCUCCCUUUUCCCAGCUUCUGAAUAACCAAGUUUACAAAGUACAAUGAAUAGAAUCUUUUCAAAUUUUCCAAUGACCUCUGCACAAUGUCCCAAAACCAACCUUGGAGAAGAGCCCAAUCGGCUUGAUGGGUUUCUCCUGCAUGAAACCCCAAUCCUUCAGAUCACAUUCUCUUCAGCUUUAUGUUACCUCAGAAGCUAUCGGUCCUGACUCACGAACCUGAGGUUUUUUUUUUUGAGACGGAGUUUCGCUCUUGUUGCCCAGGAUGGAGUGCAAUGGCAUGAUCU
rnacentral:lncRNA from 1 species